rnacentral:tRNA from 1 species
GGAGGGUUCGCAUAGUGGUCUAGUGCGUUCGCUUGGAGAGCGAAUAUGCCGAAAGGCAUCGAGAGUUCGAAUCUCUCACCCUCCG